AGAUAUAUUAAAAGCAACAGUACAACAAAUACACAAUAAAUUACCAGUUACACCAGGUAAACCAGACCAUAAUAGUGCAAGCCUAAAAACGUAACACAACCUUAGUAGUAAAAAGUCCAGAGUAGGUCGGUAUUAAAGUAGGGCUGUGCUUAGGGUAGUAUUGGGUGGCUCGAGAGCUGAUGGGAAGAAGCUGUUGUUGAAGCUGGAGGCCACGGUUCUCAGGCUCCUGUUCCUUCUUCCUGAUGGCAGCUGCAAGAUGAGAGCGUGGGUGGCGCAGGGUGGCGAU